GGUAUUUUGACUAUACAAAGGUAUUGAAAUAAGAUUUUAAUUGAAUGCUAAGAGAAUGGAAACCCAGAAAAAAACUUUUUUUAAAUUAAAAAUUGAAAUUUUUUUAAUUUGUGCAGAAACAAUUAUUAAUAUUAAGGACAAGAAGACCCUAUGAAUUUAUAAAAUUCUAUUUAAUAUGUUAUUGCUGUUGUAGAAUUUUUGGCUGGGGCGGCUAAAAAAUAUCUUAAACUUUUUAAAAAUAAAAUGAUCCAUUAUUAAUGAUUACAUGUAAAAUA
rnacentral:rRNA from 1 species